GCGCCAGUAGCUCAACGGAUAGAGCAUCAGUCUUCGGAACUGAGGGUUGGGGGUUCGAAUCCCUUCUGGCGCG
rnacentral:tRNA from 1 species